UUUUCUGAUUUCCCGGACAGACAUCAGUCUCUGCCAGUGUUAACAGCAAGCUCUGGGCUCUCUUAGCAGACUAGAGGGGGAACUUUCUCCUCUUGACUGAAGGCAAGAUGGCCUAGUCUGGCGUUUUUUCAAUUGCUUUAAAGCUCAUUGUCUUUGUGAACUCCAUCCACUUAGUUGGCAGCUGGCCUGCUGCUAGUCAGCCUCUGAGCCAGCCCGCAUUUCCUCCAGCCAUGCUGCACCGCUUCUAGGACUCUAGCGAGUACGCGCAGCAGAGUCCAAUGGUUAUAAUUAGAGCUUGGCAGCUGCCCAUUCAGAUUACCAGGAGGAAGGGAAAUCUAGAGCACCCAUCCAAAUGAAGCGCAGAGAUUGCAUCCUGAAGCCUAAAACGAGGAGCAACAUAGAUCUCCGGGGUUUUCCCUUGGAAUGCACUGUGCAGGUGUUGACCAGCACAGGCAGCAUUUCUAGGAAGGCGUGGUCUGCUCUGCACCGUAUGUGUGCUCUUGGGAUAGCUUUGUCUUCAUUUUAAAGUGAAUAUGCAAAGCACAUAGGUGCUAGGAAGUAGGAGUUCUGGGGGUGCUGCUGCACCCCCUGGUUUGGAGUGGUUUUCAUCACCUACAGGGUUUCCAGUUUGGUUCAAUAGCUCUCAGCACCCCCACUAUACAAAUUGUUCCAGCACCCCUGGCAAAGCAUCCAUUCCCCUUUUUCCGGCUUCCCCAGUGCUUUUAUUUCCCUUGCAUGGUUUAAAACUUUCCUGUAAGUCUACUGUGCACUUCGAUCAGGGGAUGCCAUUGUCUUUGACUGUGGGAUUUCCCCAUCACUCCCGGUGACAUGACAAAUCACAGCUGGAGUGUCAGGUCUUUGAGGCAGAGUGCAGGUCGCUAGUCGCAGUGCUCGCGUGGAAGGAUUGGAGAGGGUAUGUUUUCAGUGCACAGUCAAUUUUCUUCUGAUUACACCCCCGCCAUCCGCAGCGAUACUCGCCUGAAAUGUCACAUUUUCAGUGAUGGGUUUAAAAUCUACUUGAGCAACAGCAUGGGACAGAUUCUCCCCUCACAGCGGUGUAAAUCAGGAGGAAAAUCAGACCAUAAUAAGCUGCUAACUCCAAAGAUUAAAGUGUGUCCCCGUCCUACACUGUGUCUCUAAAGAUGGGGCUGUGGGGCCAGAAGCAAAACAGAAAGACUGUGGCUAUGUCUAGUUCAAAAAGGAACUAGAUAAGUUCCUGGAGGAUAGGUCCAUCAAUGGCUAUUAGCCAGGAUGGUGUCCCUAACCUCUGUUUGCCAGAAGCUGUGAACGUGUGACAGGGGAUGGAUCACUUGAUGAUUCCCUGUUCUGUUCAUUCCCUUUGGGGCACCUGGCAUUGGCUACUGUUUAGAAGACAGGAUACUGGGCUAGAUGGACCUUUGGUCUGACCCAGUAUGGCCGUUCUUAUGUCCUCACUGACAGAAAAGGGGAGUUGUCACUGGGUGGGGUGACUGAUGCACCUUCGCAAUCCUGAUUUAGAAACAUAGUGGAGACAAGGCCCUGUAGUCUUACUGCCAGGUAAAGUAGCUGAGGUCAACCAAUUGAAUUAGUUUUAAGAUGGAGCUUGAUGAAUGGGGUAAUAUGCUGGAGUUCCCUGUAAUAGUAAGGAACUGGACUCAGUGGGCUAGGAGGUCCUACCUCCCUAUGUCACCACAGGUGGGUGGGUAGGUAUAGUGCUGCUGAUUCUGCCUAGUUACUUUGGGGUAGACACUACAAGUGCCUUGUCUCCACUUUGGAUUUCACAGUGAGCUGAAACAACAAGGAGCACUUGUGGCACCUUAGAGACUAACACAUUUAUUUGGGUAUAAGCUUUCGUGGACUAAAACCCACUUCAUCAGAUGCACGGAGUGGAAAAUACCGUAGACAGGUAUAUAUACACAGUACAGUGAGCUGAGUAUCCCGCAUUCAUUAUCUUGCUAUAAAAAACCCACCUUUGAGUGACUGAAGACAGCCUCCGCAGCGCCAAGUGCAAUGGAUAUUCUCUGUUAAUACCCCCUUGUAAGGCUAUUGACAGUCUCUCUAUUUGCCUAGCUGUGGGUAGCUUGUGUUUGCUAGUCAAACUUGGUAUUCAAAAUUCCUCCUGCCCCCUCUUGCAACCAGGAAAUGACAACAACUCUGCUUCCUUCUCACUUAUAUCUUCACUUGGGCAUGAAGAGUACAAGAGGGAAUGAAAAGACCAGAUAUGACAAUUCAAAGAUGCGCUGUAAAUACCUGUUGUAACAUUAUAGGGAUUUGCGAUUUGGUGCUGUAGCAGAUGGUCUUGCUGCUUAUUAUCUGAUUUUCCAUGAAUUCGAUCUUGCUGUAAUGUUGCGUGUCUGCUGCGAUGCAGUUCGUUUUAGAUGCUGAAUAUAGCACUAGUAGUCUGUGUCUCUCUGCCGGAUUUAUUUCUUAGGCCUAGCUCCUGCCUACAGGCUAUGCUUGUGUAAGCAAAUAAAACGUGAUUAUUACAUGAUACCCAAACAUUACACCUAUUGAUAGAUUUAAGUUGUCUGAUAUGAAUAAAGUCUAUGCACACACCAAUAAAAAUAGUCUCAGGGAAUAAAUAAAAAUGGACAAUUUGUUCUCUUGAAUGAAUACUAUAUACUGAUAAUUCAUCUACUGUGAACUUCAUUUUUAUUUAGUCAACUUUAUUUGUCCAAGUCACUGUUUUCUUUCUUAAAAGAAAACAAAUUUUGAGUUGCAUUAAAAAGAAAUACCAGACUGAGGACUCUAUUAGACAGGGAAAUCCCCUACUAAUCUGUGGAUAGAUUCAUGAUAGACAGUGCCAGAUUUACCUACACUUAUAGGGACUGAUUCACCACUGUCUUACUUCAGUUUUAAGUUGAUAUAACACCAUUGCAAUAAUUGUUUGUCACUUUCAAUAGCAGUGGCACUCUAUCAGAACUAGUCUGCUUUUCCAAGGAAUUUUAUUGUGUUCUUCUGCAAUACACCAGCCAUAGCUGAAUGCACCAGUGGAAGGGUUAACAAAGGAAUGGGCAUAGCAUUACAUUGAUUGUCAUGAAUCACAACCAUCUUCUGAAGACUUGGCACACACAUUGUGUGUGUCUACGAAAAGGUUUUUAAAAACGUGUGUGUUAUGGCAGCUCUUAAGAAAUAGCAGUCUUCAAAAGUAACUCUUUCCAGUGACAGAGAUUUAAUAUAUUACCGAAGAUGACAUAAUGCAUGUCUAGAUAGGGGAAGUACCAUGGGACCAAGCUGUUAAUGAUUAUGAAUCAAAAUAAUAGCACUGAACAGAUGAAAAGGUUGAGGAGUUUUUCCCACAUGCUGGCUCCACAAUGACGUCCUCUGCAGAAUCUGGUGACCAGGAACAAAAAUCAUUUUGUCCUCCUGUAAAUUUACCCGGCACUCAGGCAUUUCUCAAGAGCAAAGAAAUUGGGUAUCGCUGCUGUGUUCCACCUCAGAGGUGGCUGCAUUUCAGUGCUGACGACUGACUUCCUGUAUAUGUACAGGGCCACAUACUCAUCUGGCAUAAAUUGGCACAGCUUCAUUGCCCAUAGGGUUAUGCUGAUUUACAUUAGCUAAUUAUGUAGACAGUCACCAUACACACAAAUUUAUCCCUACCUCUGCAUUUCACAAUGUGUCCUGUUUUCUGUGUCUGUCUUUUAGACUGCAAACUCUUCAGGGCAGGGACUAUCUUUAUAUUUGUAGAUUGCACAGCCUCAAGCACAACAAUAAAAUGGCAGGUACCAUCCUCCCACCCUUCAGUAGCUGCAGUGGAAUGGUCCAUUGCUACAGAACUUUUUACAGUACACAAGGAUGAAAUCUGUGUCCCCGUUCAUACAGUUAGGGUGAAGAAUGUCCAACAAGUUGAACUAUCUGCUUGGCAGGUGAAUGACCUCCGAAUGCUUUGUCCUGUAACCCCGAGCGCCUUCACAUGUUCUGGUGCUGUAGCUCCUUGUCUGGACAUUCCCAGCCAGCCUACAAGCAUUCAUUGAGCAUCUGUGUAUGUUGAGCAGCCCUGAUUUGGCAACAAUGACUUCAGCAGCCUGCUUGUUAUACCACAGUCGCACUCUGGUCUUCACCUGCCUUGGUUAGUACUAACUAAGUGACCCCAACAUACCCCCAGUCCUGCAAUCCCUCAAAGCCGUCUGCCCUGAAACGUCUAGCCCUCUCCUGGAACAUUCAGAGGAACAGUAGGGUCUGUUUCUCCUUUAAAGAAAUGUAAGAGCAGCAACUUCUUGCUUUAACUGGAGCUAACAAUCACCUCAAUUCAAACACAGCCCUGGGUUGGUUUAGAUUAAAAGUAAACCAUGUUUAUUAGCCACAAGAGAUAGGCUUUAAGUGAGUUCAAGUGCAAGGGAUAAAAACAAAAUGAUUAGAAGGAAAUAAAAGUAAAAUGUGCUUUCUAGUGGCUAAGACUUAACUCAAGUUACAGAGAGAGUUUGUUCAAGGUAGAUUUCUUACCAAUCUUUCUCCUUUCCAGCCAUUGCUGAUGUUUUUAUUCUCAGGCUCUUCCACGGAAGUGCAAGGUACUGGUUUCCCUUGUUUUUCUAGCUGAAAGAUUUUUGCCUAAGUAGAUUUUUCAUUUACAUUCAAUUCCCAGAGACUUUAGCCCUCUUGGUUGAAGAACCCAUCUUUCUCAGCUUGCAAGAAUGCUGGGCCCUUGUCCUUGUCCAGUGAUAGAUGCCAAGGUGACUUCUUCUCUUUCCUUAUAUCUCUCCAAACUCACUGUUGUGUCCUCAGACUCAGGACGUUCUUUCCUUCCUGUUGACUUCCCAUCCCCUGCUGAUUCUGAUGUAAAUAGGGCUUCCAUUGUCUUUGAUACACCUUGUUCCAUUGCCUCCCCUCCUGUCUGGGAGAAAACUUGUCUCUCCUUUUGCUUGGUCACAGACUUUGAAGCAUAAUAUCAGUGAGUAUCCAUAAUUCCUCCCAUAAUAUGAAUAUCUAUAUUUCACAAUGAUAUUAAUCACCCCUGUGGCAGUAGCUUUCAUAAAAGACCUAACUUAAUAUACUUUUAUAAUACCGUAAUAUUGCAUACAAUCUGUUGGUUCAAUUGCUUACCAUUUGGCUUUCAGACCCCUGCAAGUGGCUAUCUCCCAUGCUUGCUAGGUUGAAGGCUUUGUUUACCUUUCUAUGUAAAUGUGCCUUCGUUGUCUCUGCCUGAUGAACAGCCUGGUCAGACAAACAAAUGCACAUUCCUUUAUCGAAGGCAGACUGGGCUUGUGCAUUGCUUGCCAAACACAUUUUAAGAACAUUAUUCUAGCACAAAUUCCUAACUCUGUACAUACCUCACACAAAACUAUUAAUGAUUAGUGAGAUAUUAGUUUUCCAGUGAUAUCUUACAUGACAUCUUUUAGAUACAGAUUAGGACAAGAGGGUGUUAGGUGUAGUGAGUAUGUCAGGCCUGACAAGAGUUGCUGACACAGGGUAAAAAGCAACAGAGAGUCCUGUGGCACCUUUAAGACUAACCGACGUAUUGGAGCAUAAGCUUUCGUGGGUGAAUGCCCACUUCGUCAGAUGCAUGUAAUGGAAAUUACACAGGGUAGUGACCCACCAGCGGGUCUCUGUAUCACACAGAGAAAUGUAGAACAGAAUCAAGCCUCCUUAGGUACGUUGAGAAGAAGCUCAGUUUUAAGUGAGUCUGGCUAGCUCAGUUGGUAGAGUAUCACAUUUUUAAUCUGAGGGUCCAGGGUUCAAGUCCCUAGUCAGGUAAUAAACUACUCACCAAGAUCUUAAAAAUCUGUCUUUCUGGAGUCCUCUUUAAUGUUACUUUGGUGGGAGGGAUAGCUCAGUGGUUUGAGCAUUGGCCUGCUAAACCCAGGGUUGUGAGUUCAAUCCUUGAGUGGGGCCAUUUAAGGAUCUGGGGCAAAAAUGUGUCUGGGGAUGGGUCCCCCUUUGAGCAGGGGGUUGGACUAGAUGACCUCCUGAGGUCCCUUCCAACCUUGAUAUUCUAAGGCAUCACACUUUGGGUCACAGGUAAUGACAGUGGCCACUGGACACUUUAUGGAAAGAUCUGUAAUGAUGCCUCAGAAAUUUUUGCUACCAUCAGUCUUUCAGCUCAUCAGCACUCAAAAGAGCAGAUAAUGUUAACAGGAUGAGUUGGCAAGCAUCAAUGUGUUUUGCACAUAAAAGUGAUACAUUGGCUGGAGGUGUUGGGCUAGAUGACUUAAUGGAGCUUUUCCAUCUUUAAUGCUUAUGGUUUUCCAAAGGUGGUUUCAAAGGCAGCAUUGCAAUAUCUCAUCCCCUUUGGGUAGGUGAGUGGGUUGUAUGCUCUCUGCAAUGAGUCAUCCUCAUCUUGUUUAACUGCAAAGUACAUUUUUUUGUUUAUUUACGAGUUCCAGAUCUGUCUGUCUGAUGAUGCAUGCAGCCCAUAAACUUCAGUGCACCGGCUCUCCGUACUUUCCAGUAAAGGCCUGCCAAGUGGAGGGAUGUGAAAGGAGAUAACUCUACAGGGUGUCAGGGGGCAUUUUAAGAGGUUCAGCAGACGAUGCAUGUUGACGGGCCCUGGAAGGGAAAGUUGAUGGCCAAAGAGUGAGAGGCAGAAAAAGAAGCUCUUGGAGGACAACGCGGUAUCCCAGGUGGAUCAAAAGGACUAUUCAUCCACAAAGAGAUUAAGAGAGGACCAUACAGAAUGGGCUACCACAGUUGCAAACCUCUAGUAAUGGAGAAGCCAUAUAAGAAGAAGAUGAGCUUUUCAACAUCUUAUGGCACUGCAAUGAAUUUGCUUCCAGCAGCACGAAUAAUCAUCCAUGAUGGAGCCUGUGUUAGAUCUCUGUCUGCACUGCAACACAGGGAAAUGUAAAUGAAAUCCGCCCGUUUAGAUGUCUUUAAUGUGAAGCUGCCACCUGGGAUUGUACUGAGAGUCUUUUGACCAAAUUCAGCAAGGGGAUAGGGUACACCACUAAAGACAUAACAGGGAGCACAGAAUCUGCUCUUCAUUUAAAUGCCUCCUACAUGCUCAUUACUUGUGUGAUACUCAUAAAGAGUCAGUCAAUCAUUUCAGUGCCUAGAAUUGCAUUCUUAAUGAUGAAUCUCCCUAAUUAAUCCCUUCUCUGAGCUUUGCAGUGAGCCCUGUGCCGUGUCUGUCUUGUUUAAGUUGUACGUGCUGCCUCAGGAUCAAGGCCAUCUUCAUUCUGGGGGAAAAUUUCAAAAGCACCUAAGGGCCACAGGAGCACAAAUGCUACUAGAAAUCAAUGGGGCUCGUGCUCCCAAAUCCCAGGGUUGGAGCACCCACAGAGAAAAAUUAGUGGGUGUUUAGCACCCACCAGCAGCAAAGCUCCCCUUCCUCCUCCCACUCCUGCCCGCUGCUGGCCCCCGCCGAUCAAUUCCUCCUCCUUCCUCCCAGUGCCUCCUGCACGCCAUGGAGGCUAUAUGUCUUGGAGGGCUAACCCAGACCAAGCACUGGGGAUCUUUUGCUUAUUCUUAAUAAUCCUUGCUCCUCACAGUCCAAGCAGCAUAAAGAUAGAGUUUCUUCUUGUCAGGGAUUUUUAUUCCCUUCCCCCAGAGUUCAAGCUGAUGGGACGAGUCCACAUGCAUGUCCCCAAUUCAUGGGGGGUGGUGGUGGUGGUGAGACCAAUCAACAAAGUCUUUUUUUCUCUGAUGUUCCACAAUGGUUUGACUGGUGUCUAUGGGCCUUUUGCUGGGCAGGAGAGAAGGCCUCCUGUAGCAAACCAGUAUUUCGCAGUUGGUAAUGCUUCUCUGCUGACUGGUGAUUUAUAGUUACGGAGCAACCACUUGAAUAUUACCUUAUACCAUGGGACACAGCUAUUGCAAGGGACACUAUUGCCGGCAGCAACUUACAAGCGUUUCAUACAGUCUAAACACGUUUUUAUAACCCUAAUACCUAUUUUAAACAAUCCUGACACACAGGGGAGGCAGACUGGUUUCCAGCUGUGCAUUUGUCAGUGUUUAGUGAGACGUAGGGGCCUUGGCAUGAGCUGGUCUGCCAACAUCCCAGUUAUUAUAAGACAGUAUAGAGUGAAACUAUGCAUAUGUUUGGGGAGCACCAGAAAGUGGUUCAGAGGAGAAGAGCCAAGGAAUCACGGAGGAUGCAGUGGAGUGAUUGGAAGGGCCAAAGGAGGCAUGGGAAACUUGAAGACCGAUUAUUGAUUUGUUUACAGCAGCACCCACAAUGUCCGAGGUGUUUCCCAGCCAUUUGAGGGGGGAGUGGUACCAGCUCCACGAGGCUCACAGUAUAAGGACAGACAGAGGUGAGGAGAAAGAGAACAACAGAGGGCUUCUAUAAACCCCCCUAUCUCAAUUCACUAUGAGCCGCAUAGCGAAGUGGGUCUUUGAGACAGGGUGGGAGCGGGGCCUUGCAGAUGAACUGAGGAAGCAGAUUGGUGGAGCUAAGGGGGGCGGAUGGGUCAACGCAGAGCUCGACAAGGGAGGAUAAGUGGGGAGGGGCAGAGUUAUGCAGAGCUUUGAGGAUGGCGAGCAGCAGGUUACAGGUGAUGUGGUGGCAGAUGGGGAGCCAGCAGAGGACUGAAAUAGGGCGGUGAUGUGAUCAGACCGACGGGCAAGGAAGAUGAUUUUAGCAGCUGUGGAAGGAAUGCAAUGUCUGGUUGUUUGGGUGGCUGGAGCAGAGGAUACUGUUGUAAUCAUGGCAGGGUAUAAAGGCCCAGACAAGAGAUUUGGCUGUGGGGACAGAAAGACCAAUACUGAUGGCUUCCCUUCAUGGCAGCCUCAGCUGAGAAAACAAGGUGUGAAUGGGAUAUGGAGAAUGAACAGCCUUAAACGGACUGUAGCAUAUGGGAAUAGGGUAGUAUCCCUUUAAAUAAUUUGUGAGUCCUCCAGUGGCACUCACUGUGUUCUAUGUUUCAGAAGCCACUGGAUAUCAGCCAGAGAAGCUGUAUGUAUGUUUCGCUGUAUAGUUAGUAAACAUGGGUAUUUGGGCCAUCACUAACUAUGUGAUUCCUACAUAUUAUGUUUAUUAUGCCAAGAGCAAAGGGCACCAAGGGUGAUGGCCCAUUGGCGUUGUUGAUCGUUGACCCCAGACCUGAUCUUGGAGAGCCUAUAGUUUUGGAUAAAAUAAUAAUGGAAGUUAUUGAAGCCGUCACAGCAAGUAGAAGAACCAAAACAAGCAUGAAGUGUUAGCGCCUAGUCAUUUUACCCACUGGGGAGAAGUUUGAGGAUGCUGGACGCACCGAGUCAGGAGAUGCUGUUUUACAGAGAAACGACUCCAGAAUGCAAGCUAGCCACAUGUCUGCAGAGGGGAAUGCAUUACCAGCAGCAGCAAUUCAUAUUCCAUACCCACGACAGAUCAGAUGUCUCAGCUGAGAGAGCAAGCAACUUAAUAACAAUUUGGAGGAACAGACAUAGCAGCAAACAGAGCCUGGAUAUCAGAGCGGACUACUGCUAAGAACCAUCUGCUUAUUAUUAGCUCCAGCGAGUUCCCUGAUUGCUUGGAACAAAGAGAAAUUAAAAGAACACCUAGGAAAUAUAAUUGGAAGAAUGAUUGCACGGUGAAGCUUUA